GCUUACGUCGCUACACUCCUGAACACGCCCGAUCUUGUCUUAUCUUGGAAGCUAAGCAGGGCUGGGCCUGGUUACUAGUUGAAUGGGAGACCACCUGGGGAUACCAGCGGCUGUAUGUG
rnacentral:rRNA from 1 species